AACAUGGAGAGUUUGAUCCUGGCUCAGGAUGAACGCUGGCGGUCUGCUUAACACAUGCAAGUCGAACGGGCUCUUCGGAGCUAGUGGCGGACGGGUGAGUAACGCGUGAGAAUCUGCCCUUAGGACGGGGACAACAGCUGGAAACGGCUGCUAAUACCCGAUGUGCCGAGAGGUGAAAUCUAAUUGGCCUGAGGAUGAGCUCGCGUCUGAUUAGCUAGUUGGAGGUGUAAUGGACCCCCAAGGCGACGAUCAGUAGCUGGUCUGAGAGGAUGAUCAGCCACACUGGGACUGAGACACGGCCCAGACUCCUACGGGAGGCAGCAGUGGGGAAUUUUC
rnacentral:rRNA from 1 species